GAUAUCAGAAUAAACUCAAACAGUGGUGCAGAUAUAAAGAUCAGAGCUGUUACACAGUGGGGAGGACUGACACAUCCCAGAAUCCAUCAGUCCAGAUCAGUGAUGAUGGGAGAAGAUCCUUCACUGUGCUGAUGACUGGACUGAGACUCAGUGAUUCUGGAUGGUUCUUCUGCUCUGCUGGAGAUCAAAAGGCUUUUGUUCAGCUCACAGUCACUGUUCCUGAUGUCUCUCUUGAAGAUCCACAUGUUCCUGUUCCUGUUACUGAACCAAAUCCAGUUGUGACCACUGAAGUUUUUGAAACAGGUU